AUCCUGCUGACGAGUCCCAAAUAGGACGAAACGCGAGUCAAAUUGGAU
rfam:Schistosoma mansoni, Puerto Rico, WGS project CABG01000000 data, contig: 0262